UUAAUGGAGUUGUUGGCAGGGACAAUUAUAAAGUGAAAGAUGACAGACCUUCGAGAAUAAAAGUAUAAUGUUCAUCAUAUACAGAUGAUCUUGUAUCUUCAACUUACACAAGUGCAGCAAGCAGCUGCCUGCUCACAAAUAUUCUUCCAGGUUCAAAAGAGUCUGUCUUUAACAACAAAUAUUGGAGUAGUAUAAAGGAGAGUGGGUUCCCCGCAAAUUCCUGUUACUAUUGGUUUUUGAGGAACUUCAGGAAAAGAGCACUUGCAAAUGCAUAUGUUGAUAGCGCAAAGCCUCCAACCGCUCACGAUUUUGACUGCCAAACUGAUGAAAUUAUGGAUGCAAGUGCGAUGUUACGCAAUAGAGAUGGCGUACUUGGAUAUGUUUCAGUAGGUUAGGUGGCCAAAAACUUGUGUAAAUCUUAUAGAAGAGCUACCAAAUUAGAGUGGUGAAGCUAGGUAACAGUUUAGUAAAUCGCAUUCAGUUAAAAAAUAUCAGUUUCAAUAUUUGGAUGUAAUUUCAAAUUGCUUAUGUUGUUUGAUGAAUAUACAUUUAAUCUGCAAUCUGUAUUCAGGCAUUGAUGUAAUUUUCAGUAAUUAAUAUAAAGUUAAACUCAUUUUGAAAA